GUGCUGUAUGGGCUGAAAUCAGUGGGAAAUGCCGGCCUGUCUGCUCAGACCUUCAUUCCUCUCUUAAACCGCUGUGUCCUCGGCCACUCCACCACACUGCAGCUGAGACUCGCUGCUGUCCAGGCCUUCAGACGCUUCCCCUGCUCAGCUGAUGUUAGUCUGUACCGAAUAGUGAAUCAAACAUUUGCAGUAAUGACACCGCAAUGACCUAUAGACUUUUUUUAUCCUAAAAGCUAAAUGUGUGAAUGAUGUUCUAAUUAACUCACAAUGAGACACCAGACACCAGUGACUGACAGCCGCUUCCUUCCCCUCAGCGGUCUGUGCUGUUGCAGCUGUACCGCUCAUCCCAGGAGGAUCCUGAGGUCAGAAUCGCCGCAUACCAGCAGCUCAUGCGCUGCCCUGACCAGAACAUAUUCACAGUGGUGAGAAUAACUCUGAGGAAUGAGACGUCCAGCCAAGGUUGGUGGUUUAUGCUUGUACCUCAGUCUUAAAGUGGAUUAAUGUGUCUCUGAUGGUAUUAGGAACUUUUGCUCUUCCUUUUUUCUAGUGGGCUCUUAUGUGUGGAAUCACCUGAAGAAUAUCUUAAGAAGUGAGGAUCCCAUGAAACAGUCACUGAUUGAGUCACUGCCUGACGAUAUUAUCAGCAGAGACUUUGAAGCUGAAUUUUUAAAGUAUUCGUCCUAUUCUGACUACACAUUUGCGACAGGAAUGGGAAUCAUUAACUUGGAAACAUCUUUAAUUUUUUCCUCCAAAUCGUUUCUACCGAGAUCUGCUUCCGCCAACCUCACACUGUAUUUUUAUGGUAGAGCCCAUAACCUCUUGGAAGUGAGGGUGAUUUCUAUUAGAGUUUACAUCUGAAAGGAUCCGUGGGGAAAUUAUAUUGAAUGGUUGCAUCUUCUCAACUCAGGUGGACCUUCACGUGGAAAACGCUGAAUCGCUUAUGAAGAACAUUUUUGGCCACCAGACUCCCGACUCUGAUGAAGAAUCUGCCAAUCAAAAGCAUGAGAAGGAGGCGAGGAGGACAAGAAGAAGAACUGAUGAUGACAAUAGAAAAGGAAAAGAAACAUGUUCCUCCAGCACUAACAGUUUUAUAACCCAGGCUAAAGCCAUGUUGUCUGGGAGGAGGAGAACCGAGGAGAACAGUCCCAGAUGUUGGGUUGCCGUCAAGGUGUUUGGAAAUGAGCUCAGCACAUUUACGUGUGAAGAUCUCCACAGGCAAAUCGACCAGCUGUCGCUGAGCAUGGCAGGGCUGGCUGUCAAACUGCUCAAGGUACGACGGCGGUUGUCAAGGAGAUGCCUGUCUGUCUGUAUGUCUGUCUGUCUGUCUGUCUGUGUGACUUCAGGGUCUCACUCUGUUCACUUCCCUUUCUUUCCCUCAGGGUCAUGAGGUUCAGCUGAACCACAGGGCCGUGCCGAUGUCAGACCAGCUGAUUUUACCAUCCCUGUCUGGUUUGCCCAUCAAAAUGGGCAUCAACAUGACCUCUCUCGUCUCACUGCGUCUGAAGGGCAACGUCAACUAUCGGGAUACGUCUCACUUCUCCUUGACUGGACACGUCAAACCCACGUACACACAUUUUAUCAAUUACAUAUGACACAAUCAGCUAAACAUGUUGUAACAACUCUGUGUUUGUUGUCAGGGUUUAUGUGGGCCUGUCAGUCAGGAUGGGGGUUGACGGUGCUUUGGGUCAGGCUGCGCUGGACUGGGUGUCAGAGCUGAGGAGCUCCACCAGUCUGGACGGCAGCGUUCAGCUGCAGGAGGGGAGAGAUGCCAGGGUCAUGCUCAACACGCCUGAGGACGUGAUGGACGUCAUUUCUCUCAGGUAAUUUAUUGCUUUGCAGAUACAAAUAAAUCAUUUGUGGUGGACA
ensembl:lncRNA